UUCUCUCUCUCUCUCUCUUUCUCUCUGUCACACACACUCACACACUCACCCUGAGGUUAACCGCAUCCUAUAAUACAAAGUCAACUAAAUGUCAAGAGGAGCAUUCAUCGUAUUUGCUUGUGACAUCAUCAUGCCUCCUCUUUUUUUUCUUAUCAUUAUCAUAACCUGCUCUUCUUUGGCCCAACUGGAACAUACAAAAGUGUAUUAGCUGCUGAUGGUUUUCAUCUGAAACUCUGCAGUGUCUAAGUGCUAAGGGAAGAAUGAACCCCAACAGGAUGUUUUGUUAUAAGAAAAAGGCUCAGCAAAGGAUUGGAAUGCUGUGAUGCAACCGAGUCACGUAACCACCACAACAUUGUUUUAGGAAUUGAUCCCAGAGAGCGAAUCCUACCAUGCAAACUGCACGUAUAUUUUCUGCAUACCUGGACGAGUGCCAGAACUUGUUCAACAGGUUGCACCAGCUCCAUUUGUGUCCCACCUCAUGAA